GAUGAGGUAGAUAGGUUCGGGGUGGAAGCGUGGCGACACGUGCAGCUGACGAAUACUAAUCGAUCGAGGACUUAACCAAU
rnacentral:rRNA from 1 species